rnacentral:rRNA from 1 species
CUUUUCUUGUAUAUAUAUUUGAAGUAUAACCUGCCCACUGAUUUGAAUUGAAUGGCCGCGGUAUUUUGACCGUGCAAAGGUAGCAUAAUCAUUAGUCUUUUAAUUGAAGGCUGGAAUGAAUGGUUGGACGAGGAAUAUACUGUCUUUAAAUUAAUUUAUUUAAUUUAAGUUUUAAGUUAAAAUGCUUAAAUUUUUUUAUGGGACGAGAAGACCCUAUAGAGUUUUAUAUUAUAAAUUUAUUAUUUUUGUUGUUAAUUUUUUAAUUUUUUAUAAUAUUUUGUUGGGGUGAUAGGAAUGAUUUAUUUAACUCUUCUUUUUAUUAAGAUAUUAAUUUGUAAAUUUUUGAUCCAUUAUUAUUGAUUAUAAGGCUAAAUUACCUUAGGGAUAACAGCGUAAUCUUUUUUGAGAGUUCUUAUUGAUAAAUUGGUUUGCGA